CCUACGGGGGGCAGCAGUGGGGAAUAUUGCACAAUGGGGGAAACCCUGAUGCAGCGACGCCGCGUGAGCGAGGAAGUAUUUCGGUAUGUAAAGCUCUAUCAGCAGGGACGAAAAAAGACGGUACCUGACUAAGAAGCCCCGGCUAACUACGUGCCAGCAGCCGCGGUAAUACGUAGGGGGCAAGCGUUAUCCGGAUUUACUGGGUUUAAAGGGAGCGUAGACGGCAAGGCAAGCCAGAAGUGAAAGGUCAGGGCUCAACCCUGUACAUGCUUUUGGAACUGUGGUGCUAGAGUGCAGGAGAGGUAAGUGGAAUUCCUAGUGGAGCGGUGAAAUGCGUAGAUAUUAGGAGGAACACCAGUGGCGAAGGCAGCUUACUGGACUGUAACUGACGUUGAGGCUCGAAAGCGUGGGGAGCAAACAGGAUUAGAUACCCUGGUAGUC
rnacentral:rRNA from 1 species